CGGGGACCCGCACAAGCGGUGGAUGAUGUGGAUUAAUUCGAUGCAACGCGAAGGACCUUACUACCCUUGACAUGUCCGGAACUUGCCAGAGAUGGCUUGGUGCCCGAAAGGGAAUCGGAACACAGGUGCUGCAUGGCUGUCGUCAGCUCGUGUCGUGAGAUGUUGGGUUAAGUCCCGCAACGAGCGCAACCCUUAUCAUUAGUUGCUACGCAAGGGCACUCUAAUGAGACUGCCGGUGACAAACCGGAGGAAGGUGGGGAUGACGUCAAGUCCUCAUGGCCCUUAUGGGUAGGGCUUCACACGUCAUACAAUGGUCGGUACAGAGGGUUGCCAAGCCGCGAGGCGGAGCCAAUCCCACAAAGCCGAUCGUAGUCCGGAUUGUUCUCUGCAACUCGAGAGCAUGAAGUCGGAAUCGCUAGUAAUCGCAGGUCAGCAUACUGCGGUGAAUACGUUCCCGGGUCUU
rnacentral:rRNA from 1 species